rnacentral:rRNA from 1 species
UGGGGAAUAUUGCACAAUGGGCGAAAGCCUGAUGCAGCAACGCCGCGUGAGCGAUGAAGGCCUUUGGGUCGUAAAGCUCUGUCCCUGGGGAAGAAAAAAAUGACGGUACCCUUGGAGGAAGCCCCGGCUAACUACGUGCCAGCAGCCGCGGUAAUACGUAGGGGGCAAGCGUUAUCCUGAAUUAUUGGGCGUAAAGAGUGCGUAGGUGGUUUUGUAAGCGCGGGGUGAAAGGCAAUGGCUCAACUAUUGUAAGCCCUGCGAACUGCAAGACUUGAGUGCAGGAGAGGAAAGCGGAAUUCUUAGUGUAGCGGUGAAAUGCGUAGAUAUUAGGAGGAACACCAGUGGCGAAGGCGGCUUUCUGGACUGUAACUGACACUGAAGCACGAAAGCGUGGGGAGCAAACA